UACGGGAGGCAGCAGCUAAGAAUCUUCCGCAAUGGGCGAAAGCCUGACGGAGCGACGCCGCGUGAACGAAGAAGGCCGUGAGGUUGUAAAGUUCUUUUCGGGAGGGGGAAUGACCGUGGCAGGGAAUGGCCGCGGGAUGACGUGAAUCCCGGAAUAAGCCCCGGCUAACUACGUGCCAGCAGCCGCGGUAAYACGUAGGGGGCGAGCGUUGUUCGGAAUCAUUGGGCGUAAAGGGCGUGCAGGCGGCACUGCAAGUCCGGCGUGAAAGACCCCGGCCCAACCGGGGGGGUGCGCUGGAAACUGCGGUGCUUGAGUACAGGAGGGGAUGCCGGAAUUCCAGGUGUAGGGGUGAAAUCUGUAGAUAUCUGGAAGAACACCGAUGGCGAAGGCAGGCAUCUGGCCAUGUACUGACGCUGAGACGCGAAGGUGCGGGGAGCAAACAGGUUUAGAUACCCUGGUAGUCCGCACAGUAAACGAUGUGCACCAGGUGGCGGGGGUAGAACCCUCGGUACCGUAGCAAACGCAUUAAGUGCACCGCCUGGGGAGUAUGCUCGCAAGGGUGAAACUCAAAGGAAUUGACGG
rnacentral:rRNA from 1 species